rfam:Myotis davidii contig161118, whole genome shotgun sequence.
GGUGGUUCUCGGGUGACACAGUCUGCAAUUGGGCUCCCUCCUCUCUCGUUCCAGGUGUGUCACCUGAGAACUGCA